rnacentral:lncRNA from 1 species
GUGGCAGAACAGGAUUUGAACCAAGAUUGCCACUGUUAUCUGCCCUGCCUCUGUCAUCUUCCAUGGAUGCUCAGUGAGCCCUUUGUGAAAGAUGAAACUCAAAGGACAAAAUUGCUUGUCAUUCUAUGUAAGAGUUUACUUUUUUUAUGGUAAGAGACAUUAGGUCCUGCCAGGAAGAAACCUCCAAGCCAGUGUGAGAGGCAUACACACAACUUCUGCAGCCAGUGCUUUUGAGGAUCAUAAAAGCCAUGGAGACACCAGAGGAGUCUGUUGAGCUACCCCAACCUUGACUAUGUCCCAGGCUGAGUUUUUGGCUGGAACACUGUUUUCCUCUCCACUUACCUGGGUUCCACUGUUUCUUCAAGGUCAGAUGCAGAUCUACUUGUCCCUGGAAAAACAACCCUGUGAGUGAGGUACUCAUCUUAUCCCCAUCAUUUAGAGGAGAAGACUGAGUCAUAGAUAAAUUUAUCCAACAUCAUAGAGCCAGUUUGUGGCAGAACUGGGGUUUGAAUACUGGCAGGCUGGCCUCAAAUAUCAGAUUUCCUCACCAUUGUGCCAUGCAAUUGCUCAAUGUAUCAGUGAAUUCUGGUGAAGAAGAUGGAGAAUUCAUUUUGAUUCUGGAUAGAGCAUUAGCCAGCCUUGGGUAUAAGGUACACAAUUCCUUCACAAUAUGGGGCUCCUCGCAGACCACUGUGAGCUUCUCAUGGGAGAAAGUACUCUGGAGAGAUAUGAGAUUUAGAGCAGAUGAGGAUAAUCAUCCUUCAGCAUUUUGGCAAUCAUGGAGGAUCACACAUACACUACUCUAAAAUCUUACGGUGUUGGUGAUUCAUUUUAUGGGAACCUGGCCUCAAUUCAGAAGACAGAGCUUCUGGACAUCUAGCAACCAACAUUUUGACUAUAAUUUCAAUCAUUUAAAUACAUGCCCAUGUUAAAAUAAUUGGCCAAGACUGUAG